rnacentral:rRNA from 1 species
CCUUACCUGGCCUUGACAUACUAAGAACUUUCCAGAGAUGGAUUGGUGCCUUCGGGAACUUAGAUACAGGUGCUGCAUGGCUGUCGUCAGCUCGUGUCGUGAGAUGUUGGGUUAAGUCCCGCAACGAGCGCAACCCUUUUCUAUUGCCAGCGGGUUAAGCCGGGAACUUUAAGGAUACUGCCAGUGACAAACUGGAGGAAGGCGGGGACGACGUCAAGUCAUCAUGGCCCUUACGGCCAGGGCUACACACGUGCUACAAUGGUCGGUACAAAGGGUUGCUACCUCGCGAGAGGAUGCUAAUCUCAAAAAGCCGAUCGUAGUCCGGAUCGCAGUCUGCAACUCGACUGCGUGAAGUCGGAAUCGCUAGUAAUCGCGGAUCAGAAUGCCGCGGUGAAUACGUUCCCGGGCCUUGUACACACCGCCCGUCACACCAUGGGAGUUUGUUGCACCAGAAGUAGGUAGUCUAACCGCAAGGAGGACGCUUACCACGGUGUGGCCGAUGACUGGGGUGAAGUCGUAACAAGGUAAGCGUAGAUGA